UACGUAGGUGACAAGCGUUGUCCGGAUUUACUGGGCGUAAAGAGCGCGCAGGCGGUCGAUCAAGUCGAGUGUGAAAGCCCCCGGCUCAACUGGGGAGGGUCAUUCGAUACUGAUCGACUCGAAGGCAGGAGAGGGUAGUGGAAUUCCCGGUGUAGUGGUGAAAUGCGUAGAUAUCGGGAGGAACACCUGUGGCGAAGGCGGCCACCUGGACGACAACUGACGCUGAGACGCGAAAGCGUGGGUAGCAAACAGG
rnacentral:rRNA from 1 species